AGAGUUUGAUCCUGGCUCAGAACUAACGCUGGUGGCGUGUCUUAGUCAUGCAAGUCGAACGAGAAAGCACCUUCCGGUGCAAGUAAAGUGGGGAACGGGUGAGUAACACGUGGGUAACCUACCUUUGAGUGGGGAACAUUCCCUCUAACGAGGGGCUAAUACCGCAUAAGGCAACGGCUCCUCAUGGAUACAGUUGUUAAAGGGGCACCUUCUGUUGUCUCGCUUGAAGAUGGGCCCCCGGUCCAUUAUCUUGUUGGUGAGGUAACGGGUCACCAAGGCAACGAUGGAUAGCCGGCCUGAGAGGGUGUACGGCCACACUGGAACUGAGAAAGGUCCAGUCCCCUACGGGGGCCAGCUGCUAGAAAUUUGCGCAAUGGGCGAAAGCCUGACGCUGCGACGCCACGUGGAGGAUGAAGCCCUUACGGGUGUAAACUCCUGUCGAAGGGAAGAAUGCAGGAAAUAACUUUUCCUGUUUGACGGUACCUUCAGAGGAAGCCCCGGCUAACUUCGUGCCAGCAGCCGCGGUAAUACGAAGGGGGCAAGCGUUGUUCGGAUUUAUUGGGGGUAAAGGGCGUGCAGGCGGACCGAUAAGUGGUUUGUGAAAUCUGUGGGUUCAACCAACAACUUGCAGUGGAAACUAUCGCUCUUGAGUCCAGGAGAGGAGAGCGGAAUCUCAGGGGUAGCGGUGAAAUGGGUAGAUUUCUGGGAGAACUCCGGUGGGGAAGGCGGCUCUCUGGCCUGAUACUGACGCUGAGGCGCGAAAGUUAGGGGAGCGACCGGGAUUAGAUACCCCGGUAUUCCUACCUGUAAACGAUGGGUAUUAGGUGUGGGAGGCAUUGACCCCUCCAGUGCCGUAGCUAACGCAUUAAGUACCCCGCCUGGGGAGUACGGCCGCAAGGCUGAAACUCAAAGGAAUUGACGGGGACCCGCACAAGCAGUGGAGCAUGUUGCUUAAUUCGAUGCAACGCGAAGAACCUUACCAGGGCUUGACAUCCCAGGAACUUCUUGGAAACAGGAAGGUGCCUUCGGGAACCUCGAGACAGGUGCUGCAUGGCUGUCGUCAGCUCGUG
rnacentral:rRNA from 1 species